rnacentral:rRNA from 1 species
AUUGAACGCUGGCGGCACGCCUUACACAUGCAAGUCGAACGGCAGCACGGGAGCAAUCCUGGUGGCGAGUGGCGAACGGGUGAGUAAUAUAUCGGAACGUGCCCAGUCGUGGGGGAUAACGCAGCGAAAGCUGUGCUAAUACCGCAUACGAUCUACGGAUGAAAGCGGGGGACCGCAAGACCUCGCGCGAUUGGAGCGGCCGAUAUCAGAUUAGCUAGUUGGUGAGGUAAAGGCUCACCAAGGCGACGAUCUGUAGCUGGUCUGAGAGGACGACCAGCCACACUGGGACUGAGACACGGCCCAGACUCCUACGGGAGGCAGCAGUGGGGAAUUUUGGACAAUGGGCGCAAGCCUGAUCCAGCAAUGCCGCGUGCAGGAUGAAGGCCUUCGGGUUGUAAACUGCUUUUGUACGGAACGAAACGGUGAGCUCUAAUACAGUUUGCUAAUGACGGUACCGUAAGAAUAAGCACCGGCUAACUACGUGCCAGCCGCCGCGGUAA